CACGUAGGCGGCUUAUUAAGUCAGGGGUGAAAUCCCGGAGCUCAACUCCGGAACUGCCCUUGAAACUGCUAAGCUAGAAUCUUGGAGAGGCGAGUGGAAUUCCGAGUGUAGAGAUGAAAUUCGUAGAUAUUCGGAAGAACACCAGUGGCGAAGGCGACUCGCUGGACAAGUAUUGACGCUGAGGUGCGAAAGCGUGGGGAGCAAACA
rnacentral:rRNA from 1 species